GAUGAACGCUGGCGGCGUGCCUAAUACAUGCAAGUAGAACGCUGAAGGAGGAGCUUGCUCUUCUGGAUGAGUUGCGAACGGGUGAGUAACGCGUAGGUAACCUGCCUGGUAGCGGGGGAUAACUAUUGGAAACGAUAGCUAAUACCGCAUGACAACAGUUAUUGCAUGAUAACUGUUUAAAAGGGGCAACUGCUCCACUACCAGAUGGACCUGCGUUGUAUUAGCUAGUUGGUGAGGUAACGGCUUACCAAGGCGACGAUACAUAGCCGACCUGAGAGGGUGAUCGGCCACACUGGGACUGAGACACGGCCCAGACUCCUACGGGAGGCAGCAGUAGGGAAUCUUCGGCAAUGGACGGAAGUCUGACCGAGCAACGCCGCGUGAGUGAAGAAGGUUUUCGGAUCGUAAAGCUCUGUUGUAAGAGAAGAACGAGUGUGAGAGUGGAAAGUUCACACUGUGACGGUAUCUUACCAGAAAGGGACGGCUAACUACGUG
rnacentral:rRNA from 1 species